rnacentral:rRNA from 1 species
GUCUACGGCCAUACCACCCUGAACACGCCUGAUCUCGGAAGCUAAGCAGGGUCGGGCCUGGUUAGUACUUGGAUGGGAGAUCUCCUGGGAAUACUGGGUGCUGUAGGCU